GACGGGCGGUGUGUACAAAGGGCA
rnacentral:ncRNA from 3 species